rnacentral:lncRNA from 1 species
UUCAACAAACACUAUUAAACUUGUAAGAUGUACCAGAUCCUGAGUUGGAGGCUGAGAGGAGGACAAGAAAACUGCUCCCGUAGCCUAGAGGGAGGGAGAGUCGCUUAAACCACCUGAUGCAGAAUGCUGAGUGCGGAGACCAGGAGGGUCCAUCUGAACCUCAGGGUCCUCUAGGGAACAUCGGGUGGUGAUGGCCUCCAUGAUCCCCCAGAGAAAGGGUGUGACUUGAGUGCCUUCUUCCUCUGUGCUCCCCAGGGAGCAGCAGCAUCAGAGUGCUCCCAGGGUGCCAAAGGGACACACUGGACCAACUGGAGACCCUGGGCCCCCUGGAUUCACAGGUGACAAUGGAUUGAGGUGGGUAUAGAAGAAGUCAAGGAAAAGCCCCUGUCAUGAAGAGUUGGAUGGAGACAGGCACAGAGUGGCCGCAGGUCCAAGCAGAGUGAACAUGCGUCCAAACUGGCAGUGGCAGCCCCUAGAAGGGAGACACCAACAGCACCGAGAUCUGUGGUCUCCAGAGCUGACAUCUCCUGCACUUGCCACGUGCAGGCGCUGUGCGGGACCUCCUCUCCAUCCUGUGAGG